GAAUUUUUGCUUUUUUGAUUUCGUUGAUUGAGAAGCAGGUUUACGAUCUUUGUUUUGUUGUUUUCAUGAGUGAGGUUGGGUUUGUUGAUUGAUUUUUAUGGAAGAUGGGUUUGAUUUAGGGUGAUAUUGGAAGAAAGAUCAGAAGAGAGGAAUGACCAUGAAAAAGAAGAAGGUGAAUUAAGGUUCAUGUUAACCCUUAUUCCUCUUUUGUCUUUC
rnacentral:lncRNA from 1 species